rnacentral:tRNA from 1 species
GCCCCUGUGGUGUAGUCCGGCCAAUCAUGCAGCCCUUUCGAGGCUGCGACCCGGGUUCGAAUCCCGGCGGGGGCA